GACGAACGCGGGCGGCGUGCCUAAUACAUGCAAGUAGAACGCACAGUUUAUACCGUAGCUUGCUACACCAUAGACUGUGAGUUGCGAACGGGUGAGUAACGCGUAGGUAACCUGCCUGGUAGCGGGGGAUAACUAUUGGAAACGAUAGCUAAUACCGCAUAAUAUUAAUUAUUGCAUGAUAAUUGAUUGAAAGGUGCAAAUGCAUCACUACCAGAUGGACCUGCGUUGUAUUAGCUAGUAGGUGAGGUAACGGCUCACCUAGGCGACGAUACAUAGCCGACCUGAGAGGGUGAUCGGCCACACUGGGACUGAGACACGGCCCAGACUCCUACGGGAGGCAGCAGUAGGGAAUCUUCGGCAAUGGACGAAAGUCUGACCGAGCAACGCCGCGUGAGUGAAGAAGGUUUUCGGAUCGUAAAGCUCUGUUGUAAGAGAAGAACGGGUGUGAGAGUGGAAAGUUCACACUGUGACGGUAUCUUACCAGAAAGGGACGGCUAACUACGUGCCAGCAGCCGCGGUAAUACGUAGGUCCCGAGCGUUGUCCGGAUUUAUUGGGCGUAAAGCGAGCGCAGGCGGUUAGAUAAGUCUGAAGUUAAAGGCUGUGGCUUAACCAUAGUACGCUUUGGAAACUGUUUAACUUGAGUGCAGAAGGGGAGAGUGGAAUUCCAUGUGUAGCGGUGAAAUGCGUAGAUAUAUGGAGGAACACCGGUGGCGAAAGCGGCUCUCUGGUCUGUAACUGACGCUGAGGCUCGAAAGCGUGGGGAGCGAACAGG
rnacentral:rRNA from 1 species